GAUCAUUACUGAUUUGCUUAAUUGCACCACAUGUGUUUUUCUUUGAAACAAACUUGCUUUGGCGGUGGGCCCAGCCUGCCGCCAGAGGUCUAAACUUACAACCAAUUUUUUAUUAACUUGUCACACCAGAUUAUUACUUAAUAGUCAAAACUUUCAACAACGGAUCUCUUGGUUCUCGCAUCGAUGAAGAACGCAGCGAAAUGCGAUACGUAAUAUGAAUUGCAGAUAUUCGUGAAUCAUCGAAUCUUUGAACGCACAUUGCGCCCUCUGGUAUUCCGGAGGGCAUGCCUGUUUGAGCGUCGUUUCUCCCUCAAACCGCUGGGUUUGGUGUUGAGCAAUACGACUUGGGUUUGCUUGAAAGACGGUAGUGGUAAGGCGGGAUCGCUUUGACAAUGGCUUAGGUCUAACCAAAAACAUUGCUUGCGGCGGUAACGUCCACCACGUAUAUCUUCAAACUUUGACCUCAAAUCAGG
rnacentral:misc_RNA from 1 species